rnacentral:rRNA from 1 species
GAUCCUGGCUCAGAAUCAACGCUGGCGGCGUGCCUAACACAUGCAAGUCGAACGAGAAAGUGGAGCAAUCCAUGAGUAAAGUGGCGACCGGGUGAGUAACACGUGACUAACCUACCUUUGAGUGGGGAAUAUCCUCGGGAAACCGGGGUUAAUACCGCAUAACACCGAGAGGUCAAAGGAGCAAUCCGCUUAAAGAGGGGGUCGCGGCUGAUUAGCUAGUUGGUAGGGUAAUGGCCUACCAAGGCUGUGAUCAGUAUCCGGCCUGAGAGGGCGCACGGACACACUGGAACUGAAACACGGUCCAGACUCCUACGGGAGGCAGCAGUGGGGAAUUUUGCACAAUGGGGGAAACCCUGAUGCAGCAACGCCGCGUGGAGGAUGAAGCCCCUUGGGGCGUAAACUCCUUCGCAUCGGGACGAUUAUACGGUACCGGAAAGAAGCACCGGCUAAUCUGUC